rnacentral:rRNA from 1 species
UACAGAGGGGGCAAGCGUUGUUCGGAAUUACUGGGCGUAAAGGGCUCGUAGGCGGCCUUCUAAGUCGAACGUGAAAUCCCCAGGCUCAACCUGGGAACUGCGUCGGAUACUGGAUGGCUUGAAUUCGGGAGAGGGAUGCAGAAUUCCAGGUGUAGCGGUGAAAUGCGUAGAUAUCUGGAGGAAUACCGGUGGCGAAGGCGGCAUCCUGGACCGACAUUGACGCUGAGGAGCGAAAGCUAGGGGAGCAAACGGG